rnacentral:lncRNA from 1 species
ACCUUACUACAAUAUCGCUCACUCUCUAUUUUUCUCACAGACUAUUUUCUUAACCCUCUUUUGAUAUUCUCACCUUACUACAAUAUCGCUCACUCUCUAUUUUUCUCACAGACUAUACGUUGCCUGUGAAACCUCACUCUUUGUUUCUCUCUUUGUUGGUGUGUAGAAAUGAGAGUUGAAGCUCUCCUUUUAUAGCCAAAGCUUCACUCUUUAAAGCCUACAAUAUUUGACAAUUUACACACACUUUUCACAAAUUCAACAAAGUUGGCUACCAACUCAAAGAAAUUCAACAAGGUUGGCUACCAAACCAAAC